GACGAACGCUGGCGGCGUGCUUAACACAUGCAAGUCGAACGGAAAGGCCCUGCUUGCUGGGUACUCGAGUGGCGAACGGGUGAGUAACACGUGGGUGAACUGCCCUGCACUUUGGGGUAAGCUUGGGAAACUGGGUACAUUACCGGAUAGGAAACAUCUUCAGCGUGGUGGUUGGAAAGUUUUUUCGGUGUUGGAUGAGCUCGCGGGCUAUCGGCUUGUUGGUGGGGUGAUGGCCUACCAACGCGGCGACGGGUAGCCGGCCUGUGAGGGUGUACGGCCAUACUGGGUCUUAGGUACGGCCCAGACUGCUAAGGGUGGCAGCAGGGGGGAAUCUUGCACCAUGGGCGCCAGGCUGGUGCAGCGAGGCCGCGGGGGGGAUGAAGGUCUUCGGGGUGUAAACUACUUUCGGUAGGGAAGAAGCUUUUUGUGACGGUACCUAGAGAAGAAGCACCGGCUAACUACGUG
rnacentral:rRNA from 1 species